UACGAAGGGGGCUAGCGUUGUUCGGAAUUACUGGGCGUAAGGCGCACGUAGGCGGACAUUUAAGUCAGGGGUGAAAUCCCGGGGCUCAACCCCGGAACUGCCUUUGAUACUGGGUGUCUGGAGUCCGGAAGAGGUGAGUGGAAUUCCGAGUGUAGAGGUGAAAUUCGUAGAUAUUCGGAGGAACACCAGUGGCGAAGGCGGCUCACUGGUCCGGUACUGACGCUGAGGUGCGAAAAGCGUGGGGGAGCAAACAGG
rnacentral:rRNA from 1 species